rnacentral:misc_RNA from 1 species
GUCGUGUUAGACUAUUUGCUAUCCAUGACAUAAUUAAUAUCCAUACUGAAAAAUAUUUCAUAAUUUUUGGGCAGUGUUUUAUAUGAUAUUUUCUGAAUUUAAUUUUCUCUGAAUUAUAGUUAUUAGGUGUUAAUCUUGAGUUAAUUAAAAAAAUAUUGACAGUCUCUAUUGUACCCAACUUAACCAUGUUUGUUCCUUUUGAAUGUUUAAUAUUUUUUUAAAAGAUGUUUGGAUAUUACUGAUUUUCAUAGGAUAAAUUACUAAAAGUCCUCUAAGGUCCGGCCUAAUUUACCAUUUAGUCCUUAAUGUU